CGAACGCUGGCGGCGUGCUUAACACAUGCAAGUCGAACGGUGAAGGGGCCUGCUUUUGUGGGUCCUGGAUGAGUGGCGAACGGGUGAGUAACACGUGAGUAACCUGCCCCCUUCUUCUGGAUAACCGCAUGAAAGUGUGGCUAAUACGGGAUAUUCUGGGUCUGUCGCAUGGUGGGCCUGGGAAAGAUUGCGCUUUUUUUGGUGUUUUUGGUGGGGGAUGGGCUCGCGGCCUAUCAGCUUGUUGGUGGGGUGAUGGCCUACCAAGGCGGUGACGGGUAGCCGGCCUGAGAGGGUGGACGGUCACACUGGGACUGAGACACGGCCCAGACUCCUACGGGAGGCAGCAGUGGGGAAUAUUGCACAAUGGGCGCAAGCCUGAUGCAGCGACGCCGCGUGAGGGAUGGAGGCCUUCGGGUUGUGAACCUCUUUCGCCAGUGAAGCAGGCCUGCCUCGUUUGUGGGUGGGUUGACGGUAGCUGGAUAAGAAGCGCCGGCUAACUACGUGCCAGCAGCC
rnacentral:rRNA from 1 species